rnacentral:rRNA from 1 species
UGAGUGAGGGCCCUCUGGGUCCAACCUCCCACCCGUGUUUUAUUGUACCUUGUUGCUUCGGCAGGCCCGCCUCACGGCCGCCGGGGGGCCUCUGCCCCCGGGCCCGCGCCUGCCGAAGACACCCUUGAACGCUGUCUGAAGUUUGCAGUCUGAGCGAAAAGCAAAAUUUAUUAAAACUUUCAACAACGGAUCUCUUGGUUCCGGCAUCGAUGAAGAACGCAGCGAAAUGCGAUAACUAAUGUGAAUUGCAGAAUUCAGUGAAUCAUCGAGUCUUUGAACGCACAUUGCGCCCCCUGGUAUUCCGGGGGGCAUGCCUGUCCGAGCGUCAUUGCUGCCCUCAAGCACGGCUUGUGUGUUGGGCCUCCGUCCCCCACCCGGGGGACGGGCCCGAAAGGCAGCGGCGGCACCGUGUCCGGUCCUCGAGCGUAUGGGGCUUUGUCACCCGCUCUGUAGGCCCGGCCGGCGCCUGCCGACCCUCAUCAUCCUUUUUUCAGGUUGACCUCGGAUCAGGUAGGGAUACCCGCUGAACUUAAGCAUAUCAAUAAGCGGAGGAAAAGAAACCAACAGGGAUUGCCCCAGUAACGGCGAGUGAAGCGGCAAGAGCUCAAA